rnacentral:rRNA from 1 species
UACGGAGGAUGCAAGCGUUAUCCGGAAUGAUUGGGCGUAAAGCGUCCGCAGGUGGCUUUGUAAGUCUGCUGUUAAAGAGUGAGGCUCAACCUCAUAAGAGCAGUGGAAACUACAAGGCUAGAGUACGUUCGGGGCAGAGGGAAUUCCUGGUGUAGCGGUGAAAUGCGUAGAGAUCAGGAAGAACACCGGUGGCGAAGGCGGCGACCUGGUCCGAUACUGACGCUGAGGCGCGAAAGCGUGGGGAGCAAACAGG